UACGAGUGCCUCAAGCGUUAUCCGGAAUCAUUGGGCGUAAAGGUUGUGUAGGUGGUUGUAUUAGUCUCUUGUUAAAUUCUUCGGCUUAACCGGGGGCAUGCAAGGGAAACGGUACGACUCGAGGAUGCGAGGGGUCUGCGGAACUCAUAGUGUAGCGGUAAAAUGCGUUGAUAUUAUGGGGAACACCAAAAGCGAAGGCAGCAGACUGGAGCACUCCUGACACUGAAACAAGAAAGCGUGGGUCGCGAACGGG
rnacentral:rRNA from 1 species